rnacentral:tRNA from 1 species
GCAAGCAUAGUUUAAACCAAAACGUCAGGCUGUGAUCCUAAAAAUAGGAGUUAAAAUCUCCUUGCUCGCC